UACGUAGGGUGCAGGCGUUAAUCGGAAUUACUGGGCGUAAAGCGUGCGCAGGCGGUCUGCUAAGUGAGGUGUGAAAUCCCCGGGCUUAACCUGGGAACUGCGAUUCUAACUGGCAGGCUUGAGUGUGGCAGAGGGGGGUGGAAUUCCACGUGUAGCAGUGAAAUGCGCAGAUAUCGGGAGGAACACCAAUGGCGAAGGCAGCUCGCUGGGACGGUACUGACGCUGAGACGCGAAAGCGUGGGGAGCAAACAGG
rnacentral:rRNA from 1 species